AACGUAGGAGGCGAGCGUUAUCCGGAUUUACUGGGCGUAAAGCGCGUGUAGGCGGAUUGGUAAGUUGGCUGUGAAAGCUCCUGGCUUAACUGGGAGAGGUCGGUCAAUACUGUCAGUCUAGAGUAUGUGAGAGGGAAGUGGAAUUCCGGGUGUAGUGGUGAAAUGCGUAGAUAUCCGGAGGAACACCAGAGGCGAAGGCGGCUUCCUGGCACAUUACUGACGCUCAGACGCGAAAGCUAGGGUAGCAAACGGG
rnacentral:rRNA from 1 species